ACAUCAAUCUUCUCACAUAUAACUAGUAUAGGGUGUGUAGUUAGAAAAUCUGAGUGAAAAUUGAGUGCAUAUUUUGUAAGGAAUUGAGUGAUUUCUCUAAGGCAUGUUACUACAUCAAAAACAUUAUUUUAAUCGAUUAAUUGUGAACAAGUAAGUGGUGACUAUGAUUAAGUACAUGCUUAAGUGUGAAGAUGACUCAAAUCUGUGGGGAUAAUAAUUUUUAACAUGUCAUGUGCAUUGGAAAUCCCUGAGGCAAAUGUUGGAAGGUUUAGGUUGUGUUUUUUUUGUACUUUGUUUCGUUUUAUCUCUUUGUUUUGCUCGAGGACUAGCAAAAGCUAAGUGUGGG
rnacentral:lncRNA from 1 species